rnacentral:rRNA from 1 species
GACGAACGCUGGCGGCGUGCUUAACACAUGCAAGUCGAGCGGUAAGGCCCUUUCGGGGGUACACGAGCGGCGAACGGGUGAGUAACACGUGGGUGACCUGCCCUCAGCUCCGGGAUAAGCCCGGGAAACUGGGUCUAAUACCGGAUAUGACUCCAUGACGCAUGUUGUGGGGUGGAAAGCCUUGUGCGGCUGAGGAUGGGCCCGCGGCCUAUCAGCUUGUUGGUGGGGUGAUGGCCACCAAGGCGACGACGGGUAGCCGGCCUGAGAGGGCGACCGGCCGACACUGGGACUGAGACACGGCCCAGACUCCUACGGGAGGCAGCAGUGGGGAAUCUUGCGCAAUGGGCGAAAGCCUGACGCAGCGACGCCGCGUGAGGGAUGACGGCCU